CGAGCGCCCCGCAAGGGGAGCGGCAGACGGGUGAGUAACGCGUGGGAAUCUACCCAGCUCUACGGAAUAACCCAGGGAAACUUGGACUAAUACCGUAUACGUCCUUCGGGAGAAAGAUUUAUCGGAGUUGGAUGAGCCCGCGUUGGAUUAGCUAGUUGGUGGGGUAAAGGCCUACCAAGGCGACGAUCCGUAGCUGGUUUGAGAGGACGACCAGCCACACUGGGACUGAGACACGGCCCAGACUCCUACGGGAGGCAGCAGUGGGGAAUUUUGGACAAUGGGGGAAACCCUGAUCCAGCCAUCCCGCGUGUGCGAUGAAGGCCUUCGGGUUGUAAAGCACUUUUGGCAGGAAAGAAACGUCGCGGGUUAAUACCCCGCGGAACUGACGGUACCUGCAGAAUAAGCACCGGCUAACUACGUGCCAGCAGCCGCGGUAAUACGUAGGGUGCAAGCGUUAAUCGGAAUUACUGGGCGUAAAGCGUGCGCAGGCGGUUCGGAAAGAAAGGUGUGAAAUCCCAGGGCUUAACCUUGGAACUGCACUUUUAACUACCGGGGCUAGAGUACGUCAGAGGGGGGUAGAAUUCCACGUGUAGCAGUGAAAUGCGUAGAGAUGUUGGAGGAAUACCGAUGGCGAAGGCAGCCCCC
rnacentral:rRNA from 1 species